AUUAAGAGACAGGAAGGAAUGCCAAGAAUGAGUAUUUUUAGUCAAAACCCCUUAACUGUAGCAGUGUUUGGAACCUUAACCUCCCCAAAGGAAAUGUCUCUGUCCUUUGUUAUAGAGGAGAGUGCUUUUCUUUCACUGUAAGCAGACAGAGUGGCAACACCGAGUUUAGAGUGUGCUUUGAGUGUUCUUUUAUUCUGCACUUUUUGAUUCUCUUUGUAAUAAUAUUAGAGUCAAACCACAUGAGUUAAUAAAUGCUAAUGCCACCGACCUUAAUGGAAGAUGAAGGUUCAGUGAGUCUAUUUUUCCUGUAAUGCAGUAAAGAGGCUUUAGAUCAGAGUUUGAUGCAAAAUCCUUUGGAGGAAAUGUGAAGAAUCCCCUUGAUCCUGGAGCAUUAUGGAUUGGUGUCUCCAUGUUGUAAUCUGACCAUGCACAAUACAGAAGUCCAAGAACUGGUAACUGCAGCUCUUCCACCAUCACUCACUGCAUAUCUGACAGGCUGUUCAAAGAAUUGUCUACUCCUCACAUGUACCAAGCUGCUCCAGGUGGGAACUCUGAAGGAAUGGAGUGAAAGUAAUGCCAAGAAAAUUAUUCAAAAUUUGUUCAUGAAGAAAACAAGCUUGAGAGGACAAGGGAUGUUCAGGCUCCAUUCCACUUUCCUUCCCAGAGGCUUUUUCAUAAUUCAAAUGCCAUAGGCUAGUUCAGUAUAUCUACAAUGAGCUCUUCAGUCUCUUCUUUCAAGGACCUUGCUCCUUCCAAAAGGGAGAUGUGACAGUUUCAAGUGGAAUGGCUCUUGCAGGAGAUUUUCUUUAAAAGGUUGAAGUAAAUCCAACAAAACCAGAACAAAAUAAACCCUGCAUACCAAACAAAGAG